UCCAUUUCCCGUUCAGUUUGCGGAAAAUCAUCCGAAGCGACGUUCACCGUUUGUUUCACAAUUCACACGGUGCAUCUCUCUUUCUCUCUCUCUCUUUCGCUCUGCCCCGAUGAAGCUCAUAAAUUUGUGGUCGUUGUUGGCAAUGGCCUUCUUACUUCUGGGAAUCGCAGGCGCGACAACGGAAUCUCUUCUUUCUGACAAAAUUGUUCAUCAGCGUAUAAUCAGGUUUCGGAAUAGAUGCCCCACAGGAUAUACAUUAGUAGAGGACCGCUGCAGACUAGUUAUCGAAAAUGAACCACACUCCUAAAUCUAUAAUAUUCCGUGGAAUAUUAAUAAACAUGAUAUUGUUAUGUCUCUCUUUUGUGCCAACACACAAAUAUAAGCUUUCUACUACUUA